UGUGUGUGUGUGUGUGUGUGUGUGUGUGUGUGUGCGUGCCGAGGGCCUGGUGCCGGCGCGCGGGGCUCCUGGAGAGCGCGCUGGCGCAGCCCUGCCGCGGCCUGCGGGUCUCCGCCAGGCACGCCCGCGCUGGGAAGGCUGCGAUCGCAGCCAAGUGCAAACGGCGGUGCCGCGAGAGGCUGCGGUGCACGCGGGCCGCCAGCUUCCAGAGCGAGGGUGGUGACAAGGUGCAGCACUUCCCCUGGCGCCCUGCAUCGGCAACCCUGGCAGGACAGGCAGCAGGUGCUCUGGGACACUGAGGAAGAGGAAGAGUAUCUCCCCUAGGCUUAGAGAGUCGGAGGGGGUCUUCUAGCAGAAGAGACAUUCAAGCUGAGACCCCAAAGCUGAGCAGAGGUAGAAAGCAGCCGUGUCCCGGCGCUGGUGGAGCUGUUGUGUCCAGGGCCAGGCUGAAGGGGCUGCAGCACGGGGAACGCAGGCUCCAGUGAUCCGCGAUCUUAGCUGCUGCUAUUCACUUGUUUUCUGGGCGGCCUGCCUUCCUCCACUUUUUAUCUCAGCGUGGUGAAUGCAGCCUGCUUGUCAUACAAAGGAAAGUGCGCACAUUUCGUCUGUGGGUGUGAAGUCAAGCCGUCAGCUCCGCGCUCCAGGGUUAGCUUCUGACGGCGAACUCUGCGGUGGCAGCAGGCUCGCACGAGCAGAAGGAGAUUUCGUUUUACUUCUCUCGUGUAGAUGGUGGUGGUGCCCUCAUGAGACGGCCCGACGCGCAGGGUCCCCGGCUGAUGCGGACACCUAAUGUUGCGCAUGCGCCUGACGGAUGCAUCGCGCCCAGACCCUGCGGUUGGGUUGUCAUUCCCAAUAAAUGAUGCCAUUGGGAAAUUUUAUUGUAAAGACUUCCGCAGUGCUGAAAAUCUGAUAGAGCACAUGGCUUGAUGUGGGUGCUGACAGCCACAGUAUCUGUCCAAGGAACUAUGGCAGAUGAACUAGCAGGGUGCUUUUCUCUCGGGAGCAGGCUGCACUUCGAAGGGAAAAUGUUUGCAUUCCCUCCCCGGCCUCCCGCCCCCGGCCCUCUGCCCUGAACUACACAAAGUCCCACUGGAUCCAAGAAGCUGGCACCGGAACCACUCGCUCUUGUUAGCCAUACAGGCCCCAGGGGCUCUAAAUACAAACAAUCUCCAUUAUAAAACGGGCCCCUACACAUGGUAUUUCCAGAAAAUACUUGUACCUGUGUUCUGCCCUGCUGCAGUUUCUGAGAUGAUUACAUGCUUACGCCAGGGCAUGGCGCGGGGCCAAGCCAGAGGUCUGCCGGCUGGAGUUUCAAUAGUGCUCAUUAUGAAGAAGUUUCUCUUCCUAGCCCUGGAAGGAAAAAGCCACUCUCAGAUAAAGUGUAUGAUAUGAUUACCGUUGCUCUAGAUAACCGCAAGUAUUACUUCCGACACGAUAAGGGAUUGUUUUCUGUCUCCCUAGCGCAGAGCUGGGCUCGGCCUUUUUAAGAAGUGGUGGCAUUUCUGAAGGCCACUUGAUCAGUUUGGAACCUCUGGGAGCGUGGGGUUGCCAGGCAGAUAACAAUCAAUACCGGUUUCAGCUACCACAGCGACUGAAGUGCGGGGUGGGGGUGGGAGCUUGGGGGGAGGUGUGGAACCGGGAACACAGGGCCCCAGGGUCUCUGGCCGAGAUAGGUGCAGGCCUGGCGACCAAAGGCCGAGCCUGUCCGGAUGUCGUCGGAGGAUUCCUUACCUCGUGCCAACCUCGUUAGGAUUCAGCUGAGCCAGAGAGCUAGGAUGCUUACCUCCCCAGAAGGAUUUGAUGGUUUUGUUUUGUUUUGUUUUGUUCUGCUGCUUUCCCAGGUGCAUGAGCAGAGAACUGGAGUGGACGUGGAGCAGCUGGGACUCGAACUGUUCCCAUAAGGGAUACCGAUGUCGCAGGUGGCGGUUUAACCCGUUGCACCGUAAAACCAGCCCCCUUGGAAGGCAUGCACUGUGGCUUGGCUCAGGUGCGAACACUUGUGAGAGAGAUGACUGUAGCUUUGUGAUGCCUUUCAUUCUGGUAGAAUGUCAUUUUGAAGAAUCUUGGACUUUGAAACUUUUUUUUCACUUGAGAGAGACGGAGAGAUUUAACAGUUAUUUAACACUGUCUGGGUACAUAGCAACGAGCCAGUGGAGGAGCCGAGACCACAAAUCCUCGAGUUUCGACUGACUCACGCCAUCAGAAGAAACAGAGUUGAAGCUGAACUGCCGUGUUCUGAGCCUUUGGGGAUGGGCUUGACUGCGGAGCCCCAUUCAGCUGACAGAUGACCCACGGAUGCUGGGGAGGCGUUGCCAUGGAGAGCACAAAGCAGGCAUCUGUGGGCCCCAACAAGCAGGCAGGGCGCCCCCCACCCCAUCACCCUUUCAGAACCCAGAACCUCCUCUUCAAAAAUGAGGAAGCUCUUCUCCUAGUGGCUUGGAGCUCUGCUUAAAGUCACAGAGUGAGGUUUACCUGGACAGUCUCCGUCCACCCUAUUUGUAGUAAAACACACACACACACACACACACUCACACAGAACACAAAUAACUCUUGAUUUUUUUCCCCUCGGGGAACUGCCGCUCUCCCACUGUCAGACCAUCUAGCGUGGUUGGAGCUGACUGUCUACGCUCUAGGCGUGGCCACCCAGGAAAGUACAUUUUCCUGGACAGUGCCCAGGGAUAGGUGUGUGACUCAAGCAGAGUGAAGAAGACUCAGUUCUUAGAAGUAGUUGGAUAAAGAAGGUUGUCAAGAGGGUAGGAAACGGGCCUGGAAGGUGUGGCUUCCAUCUUGCCCCUCUAUUCUGGGAGCCUGCCCGAGAGCGGAGCCUGCAAAGAGAAGAGUGGAAUCAAGACACACAGAGGCAGCGUCAUGAAAAGGUGCUGGAGCACCGGGAUCCAGCCAUGACAGAGACUGGCAUAGCCUCAGAUUGUGCCUUUAAUGAGCCAGUAAACUCCCCAUUUAUGCUCCAGGCUAUUUGCAAUGUUUUCAUUCAUUUCCAACAAAGAGAACCAAGCGGGGUUAGCACAUGUCCAAACAGGGAGGAGAGAGGAAGCAUCCUCGUACUCUUUCCCAUGUCUUCAGACAUCCUUGUCUUCUUGUUUAGAGGAAGUCGUCUAUCUGGAUUCUCUGAAAUUGUCACUGGAAGACAUUGAGAGGGGGUCUUGACCCCUAAAAUUGCCCUCCCUUUGGAGAUUUCCUACUCAUCCUACUGCUGCCAUCACACAUAAAACAGCCCUUCUCUCCUCUUAAUAAACAUAUGUCCAGGUUCUGCAAGGUUGACUGUGGCGGGGGGAAUGGACCUGUUGGAGGGACCAGCUGGCCCUCAUAGCUUCCGUGCCUGCUAUCCUGAUGUUUGUCUUUCAUUGAUAUUCUUGAAAGUCAGCAUGUUUCCCCACAGGCUUAUGCUGAGCAGAUGAGGAAAAUGGGCCACCCCCAACCCCCACUCCCCCAGCCCACCUCACCCUUGCCCAGUAUUAUGUAUACAGUUGCACAGUCUCUCCCUGUCCUCUAACCGGAAGGAAGCCAGGGUGGACAGAAGGAGCAAUCCCAUGAUGCCCUGCUUCCUUUACUCCUCUGCUCCUGUUACGUGCUUCUCCCUUCAACUCUUUUUUUUUUUUUUUUACAGGCAGAGUGGACAGUGAGAGAGACAGAGAGAAAGGUCUUCUUUUUCCGUUGGUUCACCCCCCAGUGGCCGCCGCGGCCGGCACAUUGCGCUGAUCUGAAGCCAGGAGCCAGGUGCUUCUCCUGGUCUCCCAUGCGGGUGCAGGGCCCAAGCACUUGGGCCAUCCUCCACUGCAUUCCUGGGCCACAGCAGAGAGCUGGCCUGGAAGAGGGGCAACCGGGACAGAAUCCGGCACCCCGACCGGAACUAGAACCUGGUGUGCCAGUGCCGCAGGUGGAGGAUUAGCCUAUGGAACCACGGUGCCGGCCUCUUUUUUUUUUUUUUUUUAAGAUUUUAUUUAUUUAUUUGAAAGAGUUAGAGAGAGAGAGAGAGAGAGGUCUUCCAUCCACUGGUUCACUCCCCAAUUGGUUGCAACGUCUGGAGCUGCACUGAUCCAAAGCCAGGCGCUUCCUCUGGAUCUUUCCACAUGGGUGCAGGGGACCAAGGACUUGGGCCAUCUUCUACUGCUUUCUCAGGCCAUAGCAGAGAGCUGGAUCAGAAGUGGAGCAGAGGGGGGACUCGAACCAGUGCCCAUAUGAGAUGCCGGCACUGCAGGUGGCAGCUUUACCCACUACUCCAUAGCACCAGCACCCCCUCAACUCUUUACUCGAGGGUUCUGUGCUCAGCUUGACUUUGAGGACAUUUGAGUGAUUAAAGUGUAUGGAGUUGAUUCCCCACCCCUACCCCCAGCAAAGGCUUGGAAAAGUAUCCCAGCACUAUUUCAUUUUCCUUAUGGAGCCCUGAGCACAGAAUUGCUCCAUAAAACAGCCUGAUGAUGACAGAUUCUUGGUGAGAUGCUGCCCUGUGUUGAAGGUGAGCGUGGGGUCAUUUGUGAUAUUGUCCACUUUAAGCCAACUGAGUCCUGCCCAUUCGGACCCUUCCGGCAGCUCUCACAUUAGGGUCGCACCAGUGGAGCUUUUGACUGAGAAGUUGCCUAGUUCUCCUGACUAUUUAAGAAUCUGAAUUUCUAAGGUGGACCCAACUUAUGCGCACUUUGAGAAAGCUCCGAAGGUGAUUCUGGUGACCAGCCAGGUGGAAAACCACUGGGACCAAGACCUCAGCUCUUAGGAGACUCAGAGUCAGCACUACACCAGGCCUGGUUUUGAGCUCACUGAGCAAAGUGUGGAUUCUGGUUUUCACUCCCUGAUGCUUACAGUUAUCGAUUGCUCCAUGACAAGUGACCCCAGUAGUUAGUGGCUUAUUGUCAGCUGUGAUGUAUAGUUGCUCAUCAGUCUGUUUUUUUGAGUGUUCUGCUUCAGAAGGUGUCAGUAGGGACCCUGUCGCAGCUGGCAACUCCAAUAUAUCCUCAUUUCUGUGGCUGGCAGUGUAUACUGGCCUUGGGUUGAGAGUUCAAGUGGGCUGCAAGGCCCCGUUCUCUCGUCUCCUUCCUGUGCAACUCUGCACGUAGCUGCUUGGGCUUAUGGACAGCAUGGUGGUUUGGUUGCUUUUACAUUUCCUGAGGACAAGCCCUGUUGUGAAGGGCCUGAUAACGCUUGUCAAAGCUCAUCACAUGGCCAGGGCUAGAGUUAUCGUGAGAGAAGGGAAUGCAAUAUGAAUCCUUGAAGCUAUGAUCAACGGGGCCCCAAAUCUCAGUCUGCAACGUUGUCAUCCUGUGUAUUCAUGGGAAAAGUGCUGAGAGAUGUGAUCUGAAGACAGCAUAUAGAAAUAGGUAACAGUCUGUCACCCUUCUCAUUACUGGGAGCUUUGCUGUCUACUGUGUUGGGCUUGCGAAACAAUCUCCUCCUUAUCACUGUUAAUUAUAUUGGAGCAUUUUGUUUUGGUUUUCCUCUUCCUACUUCUCCCUGGAAUGUAGGAACUUACACUGAGUUUUGGAACCUGUAAUGUUUGAUGUGAAAUAUUUCCUUCUGUAUGGACAAGACUACAACUAUUUUAAAAUACAGAUGAAACAUUGACCUACUAUUCAUUAUCUCAAUACUGGCCACGUGCUUUAUGCCUUCUCUUUCUUUCUUUCCCCUCUAUCAUAAUAACAUAAAAAGGAUGAAUUAAAUUUCAACGUAAAAACACUGUCUCCCAUAAUAUAAACACUGGUCACUAACAAACCAGUGCCUCAUAGAUAAAUGACAGCAGCUUUGUUUGCUGCCCACAGAAGCUCCGAUGACCAAACAAGGUUACCAAUUUUAGCAGUGCUUAAAUUGUUCAUCAUAAGUGCUUACCUAUCUGUGGAUACUGGUUAACAGAAGGAUUUCCCAGCUGUGAUGCCCUGAGUCAGCUGAUGUGGUACUCAGGAGCUGAGCAGUGAGCACCAGGGCUCCGAAAUUCACUUUGAAGGGCAAAAUAAGAGUUUGUAUCAAGCGUGGGUCUCCAAAAGACAGAAUGGUGUGGUUUGGAGGAGGCAGAGGCUGGGAUGAGUUUGAGCAAGACCUGAGGCAUGAGGUCAAGUUCAAACUUAAAAUUGGCCAUCCAUAGUCACAGAUUCUGUACUGGUGAGUUCAACCAAUGACAGAGUGAAAUCAGUUGUGGGAAGAUGUUGCAUGUAUAUUGAACAUGUACACAUUUCUUUCUUGUCAUCAUUCUCUGAAUGAUAGCAUAUAACAGCUACUUACAUAGCAUUUACAUUGUGUUACAUAUUGUAAGUACUCUAGAGAUGAUUUAAAGUAUACAGGAGAAUAUGUGUAGAUUAUAUGCAAAUACUGUGUAAUUUUAUAGAAGAGAUUUAAUCAUCCAGGGGUUUUGGUAUUCUUGGAGGUCCCCAGAACCAAACCUGGGCUAUCACUGAGGGACAUCUGUGUUAUAUGAACACCCUGUCACAGCAGUUGUAUUCUUGAAACGUAGAGAAGGAGGAGCAGUGAGGGCAUUUGAAAAGAUAAAGAAGUCUGUGCGGGGAAUGCAAUUCUAGGGAGUUGGGAAGAGAUACGAUGAUACCAUUGCUCUGUCUUGGUGCAGGAGCGAGAGAGAGUGUACGGGGAGGCAGAUCAUCUAAUGACCAGCUGCAGGAGCUCCCCCUGCAUCCGCUGCUUGUACCCUCUUGAGUAAAUGCCCAGUGGGAGGUGGGGCUCCCUGGAGCAUGGGGGCUUAGGUGAAUAUGCCAGUUCUCACACAUUUUAAACAUUAUCAGUUGCUAAUUGGAAGCACUUAAUGGCAAGUUAGCUACUCCAGAGCUCUAUUCCUAUGCUAGGGAGUUGGUCCAUCAGGAGUCGGCGGUCUUGAAGACUGUGAGCUAGUAGUUCAGUCUUUUUUCCUAACGGCUAGUAUCCAGGAGCGCUAACUGCCAUUCUGUAACUCAUCAAACACUUCUUUUGAUAUGUCACUCACGGCUCUUGAGAGUUUCUUUGAAGAUGCUGAUUAUUUUUUUAGUAGAGGCUUGGGAGUUAACACAAGCUCUAAAGUAACAGUCUUUUACGUCUCAGGUAUCACUCCCAUACCUAAAACAUUUGUAUGGGUUGUCCCAGGCAGCAUUUGAGUCUCCCCUACAAAGGGUAGGUCCCUGGGGAAUCUAGGGACAUUGUGUGUGUCCAGUGACAGCCCUGCCAUUAUUUGCUAUGGACACUCAGAACUUUUCUGAAUUUGAUAGUAGAAUAAAUCACUUGUUUGCUGUUUGUUUCCUGCACAGGGCUAGGUGCUGUAUCAUUGGUGGAUGGGGAUGGAGGUAGAAAGGGGUUGUUAUUUAUCUUUUUUCACUAGAACCUAGUGUAAUUUCCUGGAAAUAAGAAGCAAAUGAAGACUUUCCCAACUGCCUCUUACCUUUCCUUCCUUUAUAGACACCAUGUAUGUGAAUGCGCAUGUGUUUGUGAAUUUUUACAACCCCAUCUCUGCUUACUUCAAGGUUUGUCUGAAUGUAGCCUCCUCCAUAAGACCAUGGUCCAUCACUUCCCCUGAGCUAGAAGCCGUCUCUUCCGCUUAAUGAGUCUUCAUAGUGUUUUAUUUGUACCUUCCUUUUGAUCUUUUAUCAUUGUUAUUUUUUGUGUUAUAAUUAGUCGUUACUUCCUUACCUCUACUUCUAUAUUUGAUGGUAAGAUUUUUGUUCCAACCCUCUUUCUGUCUUCUCAAUACCUACAUCCUGCCGGACCUCAGCUGAUGUUAUGUGAAGGGAUGACUGGCUGAGUGGAUGGAUGCAUUCAUGUCUGAAUGAUAAAAUUGUUGCUGUAUGUCCCCAGAUCCUUCUCAGUUUCUAACUGCUGUCCGGUCUGAAUUUCUUGGGAAGACAGGACACAGACACCAAGAAAGCAGUUGAAGUGUCUGUCUAAACCCUUCUUAGUUUUCCUGCGAUGUUUAGCCGAGGCAGACAAAAUGAUACCCUCAAAAAUUGUCUUUCCCCUUCUCGCUGAUGUUGAAGACAGAAGAGGAUGAAAGCAGUCUCUCUCUUCUCCUUCUCGCCCCUUACUCAGAGCUGUCUCCCCAAAGAAUCAGGCCCUUUUGGUCUCUAUCUUAGUAAACCUCAGCCUGAGCAAAGGGAAAAGAAGCCAUCUUGAUAACAAGAAUUAGCACUUUGUUGUUUGUAACCUUAGAGAUUUCUUGACUUGUUUGGCCAUAUGUGUGUAUUUCUAUAUAUUGUGAUUUGGAGAGUAAUAUGUGUCUCUAGAAUUUUCUAUUCCAUGGUUCACAUGCACCUUUUAUAUACAUAUGAGUAUGGAUAAGCCACAAGACCUCCCUGGACAGUUGCCUGAGCUGCACAUUGCCCAACCUCAUUCUUAGUACAAAACAGCCUUCAGGGUAAAAGCUGUUAUCUGUUUCAUUCUACAGUGGACACAUGGGAAUAUCGUGAUGCCUGAAGCUUUUUAACUGAAGGAAACUUUGGGCCAAGUCCAUUCCCGGGGCGCUCAUGUGUAUAUCCUCAGUAUGUGGCCAACAUGAGUAACCUGUUUACAAUUUCUUUGUGAAAGCAUAUGGUGGCCAGUUGUCUCUUGCCUUUUUCAGUUGGAAAGACACAUGGCAACUGCUCCCUGGAAUUACAGAUGUGACCAAGCUGAAGCUCAAGUUUACUGCUACAUGGCUGGGGCUUUCCCAUACAUACUGCUUUGUGGCAGUUCUCUUCAUGGCCACAGGGUUUUGUUUGUUUGUUUGCUUGCUUGCUUUUCUCUAUUCACAUUAAUUUACCAUUACUUGUGUAGUAUUUAUUCAGAACAAAGGUUUAAAGAGGCUUUUGUUUCAUACAAUGAUUUUGACUUACAGCUUAUUGAAAAUAUUAAGGGAACUUUGUUAUAGGGCCUUAAAAAGAGCAAUUUUGCAAGAAAACCUGAUACAUGAGAAAUUCAUCUGUUUGUUUAAAAGAUAAUGACAAGCCAAUUAACUGUGAAUUUAAUUUUAUGUUGAGAAAUAGUGCCAGCUGCUAAUGGGAGGCUUUCAGUUAUAAGUCAGUGAUUCCAGAGCUCAUAUGUGGAGUUGGCGGUCCUGAAGACUGUCCGCAGUGGUUUGGUCUCUCUAAUAGCUGGGGUCCAGGAAGCACCAUCCUGUGACUCAUCAAAUGCUUCUUCACUUCUCCAACAUCACUCACACUGUCAAAAGUAUCAUUAAAGAGACUUACUAAAAAAAAAAAACAGACUGGGAAAUGAAUGCAAGAUAGAAAGCAAGAGUUGCUCAUGUUUCAAGUAUGUUUUCAUGAUUAAAAAAUUUAGUUGGCCACCUCAGAUAUUGUUUAAGUCCCCUUAUAUUUAAGGGGGAGGGAUAAUCUCUCCCUGACCCAACACACACACACACACACACACACACACACACACACAAGGUAUUUACAAAGUUAAUGGAAAAUGCAUAUUUUAACUUUUCACAUCAUUUAAAAACAUUUAUUUUAUUUGUAAGGCAAGCGCACACACACACACACACAUACAUAUAACAACCACAGAUCCUUCAUCCUCUGUUUCAUUCUCCAAAUGCUCACAAUAGCAGGGCUGGGCCAGGCUGAAGCCAGGAGCCAAGACCUCAAUCUGGGGUUCCCACAGGAACCCAAGUACUUGAGCCAUAAUUUCUUGCCUUCCCAGAAUGUGCAUUAGCAGGAAAUUGGAUCAGAAGUCAAGUAGCUGGGUCUUGAAUCAGGCACUCUGAUACAGGAUAUGGACAUCACAACUAGUGACUUAACUGCUAUGCCAAAUGCCCACCCUUUACAAUGUUUUUGAAGUACUUUGCCUAUGCAUAUACAUGUUGUAUAAAUAUGAUGAUGUGGGGACCAGCACUGUGGCACAGCAGGUAAAGCUGCCACCUGCAGUGCUGGCAUCCCCUAUAGGUGCCAGUUUGAGUCCUGGAUGUUCUACUUCUGAUCCAGCUCCCUGCUAUGGCCUGGGAAAGCAGUAGAAGAUGGCCCAAGUCUUUGGGCCUCUAUAUCCGUGUAGGAAACCCAGAAGAAGUUCCUGGCUCCUGGCUUUGGAUUGGCUUAGCUCCAGCCAUUAUGGCCAUCUGGGGAGUGAACCAGCAGAUGGAAGACCUUUCUAUCUGCCUCUGCCUCUGCCUCUCUCUAGCUCUGCCUUUUAAAUAAAUAAAUAAAUCUUUUUUUGUUGUUCUACUUAAUACUAUUGGUUGAACUCUGUAAUUACACACAAUUAUUCUUAGGUGUUUAAAUUUAACUGAAAAGUGAUCCCUGUUAAGUAUAACAGCAGGAAUAAGAGAGGGAGGAGAUGUACAGCUUAGCACAUGCUCAAUCGGACUUGCCCCAAAUGGUGGAGUUAGAAACAUGCCAGGGGAUUCCAAUUCAAUCCCAUCAAGGUGGCAUGUACCAAUGCCAUCUCACUAGUCCAAGUGAUCAGUUUCAGUUCACAGUUGAUCAUAAUGAUAGGACUAAGAGUCAAAGGGAUCACAUAAACAAGACUAGUGUCUGCGAAUACUAACUGAUAGAAUGAAAAAGGGAGAGAAUGAUCCAACAUGGGAAGCAGGAUACACAGCAGACUCAUAGAAUGGCAGAUGUCCUAAAUAGCACUCUGGCCUCAUAAUCAGCCCUUAAGGCAUUGGGAUCUGGCUGAAGAGCCCAUGCGAAUAUUUCAGGCAUGGAAAGCCAAGACGCUCUGGCAAAAAAAACAAAAAACAAAAAACAAAAAACAAAAAACCAAAAAACAAACAAAAAAAAACCAACCAACCAACCAAACCAAACCUAUAUGAAAGAUCUCUGCGAGUGAGAUCCCAGUGGAAAGAACGGGCCAUCAAAGAAGGAGCUACCUUUCUCUGAAGGGAGGAGAGAACUUCCACUUUGACUAUGACCUUGUCUAAAUAAGAUCGGAGUUGGCAAACUCAAGAGGCUUCCAUAGCCUUGGCAACUCAUGACAAGAGCCUCGGGUAAUUACUGAUGCCAUAAACAAGAGCGUCAAUUGUUAAAUCAACAACAGGAGUCACUGUGCACUUACUCCCCAUGUAGGACCUCUGUCCUUAAUGUGUUGUACUAUGUGAAUUAACGGUAUAACUAGUACUCAAACAGUACUUUACACUUUGUGUUUCUGUGUGGGUGCAAACUGUUGAAAUCUUUACUUAAUAUAUAUUAAAUUGAUCUUCUGUAUAUAAAGAUAAU